GGAGGGAUACCCAAGCGGCCAACGGGGGCAGACUGUAAAUCUGCUGGCACAGCCUUCGGAGGUUCGAAUCCUCCUCCCUCCA
rnacentral:tRNA from 1 species